GCCAGACUCCUACGGGAGGCAGCAGUGAGGAAUAUUGGUCAAUGGUCGGGAGACUGAACCAGCCAAGCCGCGUGAGGGAUGAAGGUACAGAGUAUCGUAAACCUCUUUUGUCAGGGAACAAAGGCGGGGACGUGUCCCCGGAUGAGUGUACCUGAAGAAAAAGCAUCGGCUAACUCCGUGCCAGCAGCCGCGGUAAUACGGAGGAUGCGAGCGUUAUCCGGAUUUAUUGGGUUUAAAGGGUGCGUAGGCGGGCUGUUAAGUCAGCGGUCAAAUGUCGGGGCUCAACCCCGGCCUGCCGUUGAAACUGGCGGUCUCGAGUGGGCGAGAAGUAUGCGGAAUGCGUGGUGUAGCGGUGAAAUGCAUAGAUAUCACGCAGAACUCCGAUUGCGAAGGCAGCGUACCGGCGCCCGACUGACGCUGAGGCACGAAAGCGUGGGUAUCGAACAGGAUUAGAUACCCGCGUAG
rnacentral:rRNA from 1 species